GGAUUUAGCUCAGUGGCAUAAGCACCUGCCUUGCAAGCAGGCGGUCGUGAGUUCGAUCCCUCGUGAGUUUG
rnacentral:tRNA from 1 species